rnacentral:misc_RNA from 1 species
CCCCAACCUCUAGUGCAGGUUCCACCAAUUGCAAAUCAUGACUGGACAAAUACUCUGCUCUCAGCCCAGCUUUGGAGAGCUGCUUCACCCUCCUUUUCAACCUCUCCGACUCUUCGAGGGUUCUACUCACUAACAAACUUCCGGUCUUCUUCCAUCCCAACACCUCUAACGGAUUCGAGCCCUGAUAACGGAUGUUCUCGGCAAGCAUCGCCCACAGUUUGUGGCUUCUCAUAGUGAGGUCCCAUGUAUCACUCUCCGGCGACUUGUGCACCAUCCAUAUGUAGCCCUGCCCUGCACCAGUGGCGCCAGAGCACGGGAUGGCUUUGUCAACGACUGCGACAGAUAGGUCCGAGCCAAUCAGAAACUGCCGGGCAAUAGUUAACCCUACGAUUCCGGCACCAAUGAUCACGACAUCGAAGUUGUGAGUAGAAGCUGUGAUAAAGGUUUUGGGUCGGCGUUUUUGGGUAUUUCGAUCAAAGAAUGAAAGUGGUUUCACAGGCACUUUGGAGCCAAAGAAGCUAGAUUUGAAUGUGGCGGCACUUAUAUCCCCCCUUGGAAGUGAAACGAGAUCACGGUUACAUGAACUGUACGGCGGAGCAUAUAGCGACAUGGAAGCCAUUUUCGGUGGAUCUGUGUUGCAGCGGUAGGGCCACUAGUAGUUGCUGAUUAGUGAAUGAGGCGACCACUGAGAAGAUCCUAAACAACUCGGCGA